UACGAAGGGGGCUAGCGUUGUUCGGAAUCACUGGGCGUAAAGGGCGCGUAGGCGGCCUUCUAAGUCAGACGUGAAAUCCCCAGGCUUAACUUGGGAACUGCGUCUGAUACUGGGAGGCUUGAGUGCGGGAGAGGGAUGUGGAAUUCCAGGUGUAGCGGUGAAAUGCGUAGAUAUCUGGAGGAACACCGGUGGCGAAGGCGGCAUCCUGGACCUCUUCUGACGCUGAGGCGCGAAAGCCAGGGGAGCGAACGGG
rnacentral:rRNA from 1 species